AAGGUCUUGGAAUAAGGGGUGGGUAAGGACGGUGCCAGCCGCCGCGGUAAUACCGGCGCCUCAAGUGGUAGUCGCUUUUAUUGGGCCUAAAACGUCCGUAGCCGGUUUGGUACAUUCGGGGGUAAAUCAAGGCGCUCAACGUCUUGAAUUCUGCGAGCACGGCCAGACUUGGGACCGGGUGAGGUGUGGGGUACUCUCAGGGUAGGGGUAAAAUCCUGUCAUCCUGAGAGGACCACCUGUUGCGAAGGCGCCACACUAGAACGGAUCCGACGGUCAGGGACGAAGCCUAGGGGCACGAACCGGAUUAGAUACCCGGGUAGUCCUAGGUGUAAACGCUGUGGACUUGAUGUUGGGAGUGCUCCGAGCACCCUCAGUGUCGAAGCGAAGGUGAUAAGUCCACUGCCUGGGAAGUACGGUCGCAAGGCUGAAACUUAAAGGA
rnacentral:rRNA from 1 species